rnacentral:lncRNA from 1 species
GGGAUCCUUUACUUCACAUAGGAAGUAUGUGACCUCCAGGUACCAAGCACUCUGAAAGAGAGCUUCGAUUCAAACAAAGUAAGCAGUUGGAUUCCUCUUCGUUCAGCUUUAACCAAACUUGAGUAAGAACUCCCUGACUUGGAAACACUCAAGUUUCCCACACAUGACUGGAUGGCCCUGGCCACACUGGGAACGGAAUGGGGGCCUCCCAUUGGAACUCAGGGUGGAGGGGGAAGCUCGACCAGCUAUUGUGGCCCCCACUUCCAUUGACAAAAAAGAAAACCUGCAGAUUCCAUUGAUCUGGCAUGGAGCUGGAUGUCUUUCAGGAUGAAGAGUUUUCAUUAAAACACAGCCACAACAAAGCAAGAAAAAAGAGCAAUUGAUGUAAGCAUGCCAGUCAGGUUCACAUGUUAAGAAACAGAAUAA